CAGCCGCCGCGGUAACACGAAGGGGGCUAGCGUUGCUCGGAAUGACUGGGCGUAAAGGGCGCGUAGGCGGAUUGUUUAGUUAGGCGUGAAAUUCCUGGGCUUAACCUGGGGACUGCGCUUAAUACAGGCAGUCUAGAGUGAGGAAGAGGGUUGUGGAAUUCCCAGUGUAGAGGUGAAAUUCGUAGAUAUUGGGAAGAACACCGGUGGCGAAGGCGGCAACCUGGUCCUUGACUGACGCUGAGGCGCGAAAGCGUGGGGAGCAAACAGGAUUAGAUACCCCUGUAGUCCCUGUCUCUUAUAA
rnacentral:rRNA from 1 species